rnacentral:rRNA from 1 species
GAUGAACGCUGGCGGCGUGCCUAAUACAUGCAAGUCGAGCGGACAGACACGGAGAUUGCUCCUUUGAGGUUAGCGGCGGGCGGGUGAGUAACACGUGGAUAACCUACCUAUAAGUCUGGGCUAACUUCGGGAAAACGGUGCUAAUAACGGAUAAUAUAUUGUACCGCAUGGUUCAAUAGUGAUAGACGGUUUUGCUGUCAGUAAUAGCUGGUUUCGCGUCGCAUUAGCUAGUUGGUAAGGUAAAGGCUCACCAAGGCUACGAUGCGUAGCCGAGCUGAGAGGAUGAUCAGCCACACUGGAACUGAGACACGGUCCAGACUCCUACGGGAGGCAGCAGUGGGGAAUAUUGGCCAAUGGGCGAAAGCCUGAUGCAGCAAUACCGCGUGGGUGAAGAAGGUCUUCGGAUCGUAAAGCUCUUUUGUUAGGAAAGAAAAGAAGCAGGUUAAUACACCGCUGUCUUGACGGUACCUAAAGAAUAAGCCCCGGCUAACUACGUG